UUUGAUCAUGGCUCAGGAUUAACGCUGGCGGUAUGCCUAACACAUGCAAGUCGAACGGAAUACUAAUUAAGAGAAUCUCACACUAGUGAGAGGUUCUCACGAGUAGUAUUUAGUGGCGGACGGGUGAGUAACACGUUGGAACCUGCCCCGAAGUGGGGAAUAACUGCUCGAAAGAGUAGCUAAUACCCCAUAGUAUCCGGUUUAUCCGGAUUAAAGAUUUAUCGCUUUGGGAGGGGCCUGCGUCUGAUUAGCUAGUUGGUGAGGUAAAAGCUCACCAAGGCGACGAUCAGUAGCUGGUUCGAGAGGAUGACCAGCCACACUGGGACUGAGAUACGGCCCAGACUCCUACGGGAGGCAGCAGUGAGGAAUCUUCCACAAUGGGCGCAAGCCUGAUGGAGCAAUACCGCGUGCAGGAAGACGCUUUUCGGAGUGUAAACUGCUUUUGUCGUCGAAGAUUAUGACUGUAGACGAAGAAUAAGGACCGGCUAACUACGUG
rnacentral:rRNA from 1 species